rnacentral:lncRNA from 1 species
GACCAAAGCCUAACAUCUCCCAGCUCUCCUGGUGUGUUGCAACAUGUAUAAUCUCUCCCUUAUUUCCCUUUGUAUCUGUACCAGCUUCAUGUCUACCUACAAAUUUUUUUGUUGAAAUAUUCUGAUAUUUCUAGCCUGCCAUGUAUAGUAGAGUGUUGCUCCCCAAAUAGCAGCUACAAUUUCCUUUUAGAAUUGGCUCUAUCUCAUUAUUUUGAUACAUUUAAGAGUAGUUAUAGUACUGCCACAUAUAAUUGUAGUCUCCAAUCAUUGACUCAACUUAUUCCUCAUUUGUGUUAUCCAUUCACAAGUAGCAAAUAAAUACAAAUGUGUCUCUUCCUUGUCAUCAUCACAUAAAUAACAUGAGUAAGAGUUUAUGUCAGCAGUUUUUCUUGAUAGGCUAGCCAGACUAUUACCCGUUCUUUAGGUAGCAUGAGUGAACUCCACAUUAAGUAAGCAACCUGUACCCUUUGUCGAUUUUUCAGUAAAGCAUUAUAACUCGAUGAUGCUGAGUAAAUACCAGUUGUUGUCGGCAUGUACCUAUUUUAUCGAUACCAAUGCACCAUCUGAUCCUUCAAAAAUUUUGUUUUUUCUAAUACCAGCUACAGUCACCAGGAGGUUCAUGAUCCCAAAUGGUUUUUCCAUCCUUCAUAUAUAUACCAUUGAGCCAUUUAACCCACAAUAAUCUUGCCUUCCUUGCUUAUUGCCAGAGCAAUUUUUCAACUGCAGCUAUGAUCCAAUCACUACAGCUUUUGAGAUUCAGCCCACCAUAUUUCUUAGGACACAAAUCUUAGUCCAUGCUACCAGUGCUAUCUUUUUCUUUCC